UGAUCCUGGCUCAGGAUGAACGCUAGCUACAGGCUUAACACAUGCAAGUCGAGGGGCAGCAUGUUGGUUGCUUGCAACCGAUGAUAGCGACCGGCGCACGGGUGAGUAACGCGUAUCCAACCUACCCUUGUCCAUCGGAUAACCCGUCGAAAGGCGGCCUAACACGAUAUGCGGUUCACCGCAGGCAUCUAACGUGAACGAAAUGUGAAGGAGAAGGAUGGGGAUGCGU
rnacentral:rRNA from 1 species